rnacentral:rRNA from 1 species
GAUUAUGGCUCAGGAUGAACGCUAGCGACAGGCUAACACAUGCAAGUCGAGGGGCAGCACGGGAGAGCAAUACAACUGGUGGCGACCGGCGCACGGGUGAGUAACGCGUAUGCAACCUACCUAUCAGAGGGGAAUAACCCGGCGAAAGUCGGACUAAUACCGCAUAAAACAGGGGCACCGCAUGGUGAUAUUUGUUAAAGAGAUUCGCUGAUAGAUGGGCAUGCGUUCCAUUAGGUAGUUGGUGAGGUAACGGCUCACCAAGCCGACGAUGGAUAGGGGAACUGAGAGGUUGGUCCCCCACACUGGUACUGAGACACGGACCAGACUCCUACGGGAGGCAGCAGUGAGGAAUAUUGGUCAAUGGGCGGGAGCCUGAACCAGCCAAGUCGCGUGAAAGGAAGAAGGAUCUAUGGUUCGUAAACUUCUUUUGCAGGGGAAUAAAGUGCAGGACGUGUCCUGUUUUGUAUGUACCCUGAGAAUAAGGAUCGGCUAACUCCGUGCCAGCCGCAGC